rnacentral:rRNA from 1 species
GUUGUAUGGUUAAGUGACUAAGCGUACACGGUGGAUGCCUGGGCAGUCAGAGGCGAUGAAGGACGUACUAACUUGCGAUAAGCGCAGAUAAGGCAGUAAGAGCCGUUUGAGUCUGCGAUUUCCGAAUGGGGAAACCCAACUGCAUAAGCAGUUACUGUUAACUGAAUACAUAGGUUAACAGAGCAAACCGGGGGAACUGAAACAUCUAAGUACCCCGAGGAGAAGAAAUCAACCGAGAUUCCGGUAGUAGCGGCGAGCGAACCUGGAUUAGCCCUUAAGCACUCGGUGAAGUAGGUGAACAAGCUGGAAAGCUUGGCGAUACAGGGUGAUAGCCCCGUAACCGACGCUUCAUCGAGCGUGAAAUCGAGUAGGGCGGGACACGUGAUAUCCUGUCUGAAUAUGGGGGGACCAUCCUCCAAGGCUAAAUACUCCUGACUGACCGAUAGUGAACCAGUACCGUGAGGGAAAGGCGAAAAGAACCCCUGUGAGGGGAGUGAAAUAGAACCUGAAACCGUGUACGUACAAGCAGUAGGAGCACCUUCGUGGUGUGACUGCGUACCUUUUGUAUAAUGGGUCAGCGACUUAUAUUCAGUGGCAAGGUUAACCGUAUAGGGGAGCCGUAGCGAAAGCGAGUCUUAACUGGGCGCUCAGUCUCUGGAUAUAGACCCGAAACCGGGUGAUCUAGCCAUGGGCAGGUUGAAGGUUGAGUAACAUCAACUGGAGGACCGAACCGACUAAUGUUGAAAAAUUAGCGGAUGACUUGUGGCUAGGGGUGAAAGGCCAAUCAAACUCGGAGAUAGCUGGUUCUCCCCGAAAGCUAUUUAGGUAGCGCCUCGGACGAAUACUACUGGGGGUAGAGCACUGUUAAGGCUAGGGGGUCAUCCCGACUUACCAACCCUUUGCAAACUCCGAAUACCAGUAAGUACUAUCCGGGAGACACACGGCGGGUGCUAACGUCCGUCGUGGAGAGGGAAACAACCCAGACCGCCAGCUAAGGUCCCAAAGUAUUGCUAAGUGGGAAACGAUGUGGGAAGGCUCAGACAGCUAGGAUGUUGGCUUAGAAGCAGCCAUCAUUUAAAGAAAGCGUAAUAGCUCACUAGUCGAGUCGGCCUGCGCGGAAGAUGUAACGGGGCUAAGCAAUACACCGAAGCUGCGGCAAUAUCUUUUAGAUAUUGGGUAGGGGAGCGUUCUGUAAGCCGUUGAAGGUGAAUCGUAAGGUUUGCUGGAGGUAUCAGAAGUGCGAAUGCUGACAUGAGUAACGACAAAGGGGGUGAAAAACCUCCUCGCCGGAAGACCAAGGGUUCCUGUCCAACGUUAAUCGGGGCAGGGUGAGUCGACCCCUAAGGUGAGGCCGAAAGGCGUAAUCGAUGGGAAACGGGUUAAUAUUCCCGUACUUCUGACUAUUGCGAUGGGGGGACGGAGAAGGCUAG